UGCGGGGUGGAGCAGUCUGGUAGCUCGUUGGGCUCAUAACCCAAAGGUCGGCGGUUCAAAUCCGUCCCCCGCAACCA
rnacentral:tRNA from 1 species